rnacentral:rRNA from 1 species
UACGGAGGGUGCAAGCGUUAUCCGGAUUCACUGGGUUUAAAGGGAAGCGUAGGAGGGCAGGUAAGUUCAGUGGUGAAAUCUUACGAGCUUAACUCGGAACUGCCGUUGAUACUAUCUGUCUUGAAUACCGUGGAGAUGAGCGGAAUAUGUCAUGUAGCGGUGAAAUGCUUAGAUAUGACAUAGAACACCAAUUGCGAAGGCAGCUUACUACAACAGUUAUUGACGCUGAGGCACGAAAGCGUGGGGAUCAAACAGG